rnacentral:rRNA from 1 species
UAGUCAUAUGCUUGUCUUAAAGACUAAGCCAUGCAUGUCUAAGUAUAAGUUAUAUACAGCGAAACUGCGAAUGGCUCAUUAAAACAGUUAUAGUUUAUUCGAUUAUUUUCUUCUACAUGGAUAACCGUAGUAAUUCUAGAGCUAAUACAUGCUGUCAAACCUGACUUUUCGGAAGGGUUGUAUUUAUUAGAUAUUAAACUAACCCUGGCAACAGGAUAGUGAUGAUUCAUAAUAACUGAGCGGAUCGCGGCCUCGCCGCGACGAAUCGUUCAAGUUU